GUGCUCACUCCAGCAGCACAUACACUAAAAUUGGGACGAUACAGCGAUUACCAUGGCCCCUGCGCAAGGAUGACAUGCAAAUUCAUGAAGCAUUCCGUAAUUAA
rnacentral:snRNA from 1 species